rnacentral:lncRNA from 1 species
AUCCCGGGCUCCGCCGCUAGGGGUGGCGGCUGCGGCUCGGGCCUGAUUGUCACGGCGCGGUUGCUUUGAGGGCGCAGCAGCCCUACCGAGUGAGGCCGGCGUGAGGCCAGAGGGUGGGAAAGCGGUCGGCGGCGGAGGGCGGCGCCGGAGGAGGGCGGCGCGCGGUGACUCAUCCCUCUGGAAGAUCAGACACGCUCGCCGAGCUCGCCCGCGCCGCCGCUCCUCAUCCGGGAGGCGCCCGCCCGCCCGCACCGCCCGCCCGCUCCGAGCUCCCGGCCCGGCCGCGGCGCAGAAAGUUUUCCCGGGCUCACGGCCUGCGGGAAGCGGAGCGGGCACGGCUGGGAGGCGGUCGCCGCGCGGGCCCGCCGAGUGCAUGGUGUCGGGCGCCCGGGCCGCGCGUCAGGAGGACCCGGGGCGGGGCCGGGCUGAGCCCAGCUCCUGAGCCUCUGUCCAGCUGCGCCCCGAAGCCGUCUUCCCUUGGGACCGCUGCGGGGGUCGCGCUCCAGCGCCAUGUCCCGGCUGCUGCCGCUGCUGGGGAGCCGGACGGCGCGCAGCCUGAGGCCCGGCCCUGCCGCCGCGCCCCGCCUGCCGUCCUGGUGCUGCUGCGGCCGGGGACUGCUGGCGCUCGGGGUUCCCGGCGGUCCCCGGCUUCUGGGCACACACCCCAAGAAGGAGCCCAUGGAGGCGCUGAACACGGCGCAGGGCGCGCGCGACUUCAUCUACAGCCUGCACUCCACGGAGAGGAGCUGCUUGCUCAAAGAGCUGCACCGCUUCGAGUCCAUUGCCAUCGCACAAGGUAAGCGGGUGGGGCCGCCUGGGAAGACCUACUUCUCAGACCCCUGUCGCCUCCCCACACUCUGCCCCGCUCCUGGCACGGCCGAAAGGGGAAACUUUCCACCUUCCGAGUGUCCCCAAGACAGGACACGAGCGGAUCGUGCCAGGUAGUUAGGGCCGAGCUUGGCUGGUGCCUCCCUGGCCGUGGAAUUUCGGAGCUUCAUCCUGAAAUGUCAGCUGCCUCUCAGGGUUGUGUUUUGGUUUGUCCUGUGCCUCCUCUCUCCAGCCCUCCAUUCCCUAAGCCUUUGGUGUCUUCCUGAGACCGUGUACCCAUGCAGGUGGCAUGCCCUGCCUGGUCUAAGAAAGUGCCAGGAACUGGGCAGGCAGCCGGAAACUUUCUUGAAGGUGUGUGGAUGUCCCCUCCCAAGAUGCUCUUGGUUUGUUAUAUUGCUUCUCACAUUUGGUUGUGAAAUGGCCCAAGGAAAGAUUGUAUCGAGCCAGCAACUGAGUGUGUACUGGAAGUCUGGAGAUUCAAAUUGAACUCCAGAGUUUGUUUCCUUGGAGUUUGAAAGAAUGAAGUGAGUUUUUGGGUGGUUGGGGCUAAGAAAUCUGUGACUUGAAAAUGAAAAGCACACUUCUACUUAAAAAUAAUUGGGAAAGGAUGAAAGGAAAGCUAUUUUUAAACAGACACGUUAAGAUAGGAUAUUUUUAAAACAAGUGCGGAAUGUGGUAGGUCAGAAUUUGAGUGUAUGUGAAAAGGCAUUGAAAAGAUGCAAAGACUACAAUGGAUUCAGUCUUUAAAGUUUUUUUUUUCUUGCUAUGUAAAUUCUGUUGUAUACACAAAAACACAGCUACUCUUUAUGUGACAUUUGGAUGUGUUAGGAAGUUUUUAAAUAGUUGAAGUUGGUAAUAUAAAGUAUUAUGUAAACAUUCUGUAAGUUCUGAAGUAUAGAACACUUCAGCACUGAUUCGGAACGUGGCUUUCAGGCAUCUUGAAAGGUUGCAUUUGGCCUGUGCACGGGAGGAAAGCAAGCUCUUGCCUGAUAUUAGAUUACCUUUACAACUUAAGAGACUUUUUAUUGGUUGUAUCCUUUACUACUCUGAUUUUUUUUUUCUCCCCAGUUUAGGGGAUUGUGAGCCACUAUAAAGUAAUGGAUAAUUUCAGGCAUUGCUUACCCACAACACUUUUUCAGGAAAAUGCAGUAUUCCAAUCAAUUCAGUUAGUAAAUCACAACAUUACAGAAAAUCAUAACCGAAAACUAGCAUACCUUUAGUCUAUGUGUGGCUUAAAAAGACUCAAAUUCUGAAAAAGUUCUCUUUGAAAACAAUAUAGACAGGCGUAUCUUAGAAAGUCAGUUUGUGUCGCUCAGGUGAGGCUGUAAACGUCAUUUUCCCUUUUCUAAAGCGAGGUCUUGGAAAUUCUACAUUGUCAACAUGGUAUAAGAUUGGAGGAUCCUUUGAAUAUAAUUUUAUAGCAGUUAUUGAAAUGCACGUUUUACAAUAUCAAUACCUGACUUGCUAAAUUUUAUCUAUUUUGCACAUACCAGCAGGGUAUUGGGUAGGAGUGUUAGAUUUUCUAAUGAAGACAGUGUUUUAAAAUCUAAGAUGGUUUUAGCUAUCCUUGGAAGGACCUAAAACCUCAAGUCCAUGGAGGUCAUUAGCAUCAAUAAAACUUAAGGAUCUAAAUUAUUUGAGGAAGCCGUUGGUCAUUUAAAUGUAUUUGUUCAGGAAAAAACAAAGAGAGGUAAAUCUAUAGGAAACAAUUUGGCGGUUUAAUGUCUCCCCUUUAUAAGCUAAAACACUUCAAAGUUUGGACAUCUGUCUUUCUUUGUUGAUGCUUCUGGCUAGCUUCCGAGUCAGUGACACUUAGAGGUGCUGCUGCGUCAGUUUUUAGCGUGCCUUGGUGCCCACUUAAGUUUUAUUCCCAAUCACGUAGUUAAGGGGAUAACUAGACUUGCUUAGUAUAUUACCUUGUUCACCAAUUACAUAAGGUAAAAGGACCUCACUGCCCUGGGAAUUCUUGUCCCUCAUACAUACUAUUCUAAAAUCAGUGGGUUUCUUGGUUUGUUUUAAAUGAAAACCUCUCAUGUUUUCUUUACCCUUUUCAGCAUUCUUGUUUUUCUUCUUCUUCUAAUACUUUCAUCACUUAUUUGUGUGUGAGCAUGCUACUGCAUGCUUGUAGAAGUUAGAGAACAACAUAUGGGGGUUGUCUGGUUUUUCCUGCCAACACACUGGAUCCAGAUCAUCAAACUCAGGCCCUUAGGCUUGGCGACAAGUGCCUCACUAGCAGGCCAUGUCAUCCAUCUUAAUUCUGUAAACUACCAACUAAAGCACUAAAUGUAGAGUACUAGCUAUACUUUCUAAUGACAUAUUGUCCCUGGGCAAGGGCUGGUUCUUACUAUAGGAAGCCUGUGUGUCCUUGGAAAGGUGCUUAAGGUUAUCCUGGGAAGCAUUCAGGCUUUGAUAAAACAUU